CUAAGACAAUUCCCAACUGAAUAGUUGUCUUAUUUUUCUCCACAAGUCCCCUCGGCCACCCUCCCCCACCGAGUUAUUCCAGCGAUUCUGGUGUACCGUUGUGGAAUAACACCGAUAUACGUUGGUAAGGGCGUCACAGCGAGAAGCAUCACAAGAUGAAAAAUUAAUCCUCGAGAUGAUCUGAUGAAUGUACAAAUUAUCAGCCCUGGUAUUUUGGGGACAAUGAUGAUGGAUGGGGUGGUAGAGCAUCUGGAGGAAGGUGGAGAUUGUUUGAGAUCGUUGGCUAAUUUGGUCUGAUGACAUGUCUCCAGACAUCUUCGAAGAACUUGAAGAAAUAUUGAAUAACCCUUUUGCUGGAGUUAUUAGAGGAAUAAUGGGUUUUGUUACACUUUUCCCACAGGAUUGGUAACUUUAGACGCAGUAGGGCGUCAUACCGAGAAAUAUCACGAGUUCAGGAAUUAAUAUUAGCAAUAUUUUGAUGAAUGCAAAGACGUAGCUCUCGUGGGGAUAUUAAUCAGGCUUUUGACUUGUUGAUUACCAACUUUUUAAGCUGUUGGGUUACGCUUUUCUCGCAGCAGGGCGUCACAUCGAGAAACAUUACGACUUCAGGGAUUAAUCCUUGACAUGUUUAGGGGAAUGAGAAGACGAUUGGACAUUACGAUGACGUUGACAAUGAAUUUGAACGAGGCUAUAACUUCAGCAACAGAAAAUUCAACUCAAUUGAAUCCAGAAGUCUACAAAUAGUUUUAAGUCAUGCGCCAAUUCAUUAUCAUGACACGUCUCCAAACACCUCUGAAGGACUUAAAAGACCAUCGAAUGUUACUUUAUAUUACGAAUCAUUUCCUGGAGACAUCAAUUAGGAAAAUAAUCGGCCUCGAACUCGUUUCGGUUUUCGACUUCCUGACGGUCAAGUUUCUACGCUUUUAAGUUGGUUUUUAUUGGUCCGGGGGAAGCUGAGGCCAAUUAGGAUGGUGAUUUAGUUGGCUACGGCCUCCGGGAGCUUCCGGUUUUCUUGCCCAUCGUGACAUGAUUUAAAGACAUGGAAAGUUCAUGCGAAACACGGCAGUUUGUCGAGGGUCAGUUGCAUGACAUCUCGUGGGGUUUUGUGAAAAAAAAAAAAAGAAAAUUAUGUAUCACGAGACUACACAGGCGUUCAUAUUGGUCAAUGUGAAUUGAGAUUAAGUCGUGUUCUCGAGAAAUGGUUUGAAUGGAAUAAUGGGAUGAUUAAAUGGAUUAAUUCCUAAGUUUUAAGCAGAAAUUUUUGCUCUGAUAUGAAUAUUUAGUGUAGGAAUUAUCACUGCCCCGAAUUUUUUACCGACAGGAAAAUUCUGUAAUGUGAGUGAAUAAAACAAUCACGCAAAAAUCAGAUAAAAUGUUUAAACAAUGCAUUUCCCUAGCCGCAAGACGAUGAGGAACCGGUAAUUUGUCCUCGGUGAAGUUUUGUCA